rnacentral:tRNA from 1 species
ACAAUGGUGGUUCAGUUGUAGAAUUUUCACCUUUCACGUGGGAGACCAGGGUUUGAGUCCCAUCUUGUGUA